rnacentral:rRNA from 1 species
GACGAACGCUGGCGGCGUGCUUAACACAUGCAAGCCGAACGAAGUGGCGAACGGGUGAGUAACGCGUAAUCAACCUGCCCUUCAGAGGGGGACAACCGUUGGAAACGACUGCUAAUACCUCCUACUGCAGGAGGGGCAUUCGUCUGAUUAGCUCGUUGGAGGGGUAACGGCCCACCAAGGCGAUGAUCAGUAGCCGGUCUGAGAGGAGGAACGGACACAGUGGGACUGAGACACGGCCCAGACGCCUACGGGAGGCAGAAGUGGGGAAUCUUCCGCAAUGGACGAAAGUCUGACGGAGCAACGCCGCGGGAGUGAUGACGGCCUUCGGGUUGUAAAGCUCUGUUAAGCGGGACGCGGUACCGGAAUAGAAAGCCACGGCUAGCUACGUGCCAGCCGCCGCGGUAAUUC